UACCCUCGUGAGUGAUUUGUAAAGUGUCCCAAAUUUCUUUGGCGGUUUCACAUGCUGAUACUCGUGAAAAUUCAGUUUGAUUCAACGCAUUGAACAAAGCAUUGAUACCCUUCCCAUUGAACGAAGAUAGUUCGUUUUCGUCUUUAGUCCACUUAGUUCUAGGUUUCGGACCGGUAACAUUCUCGACCACUUCAGUAGGAUGUUUCCAUCCGAAUUCAACGGCUUGCCAAACCCUCUCGUCGAUAGCAAUAAGAAACGCCCUCAUUCGGACUUUCCAAUAAGCAUAGUUAGUUCCAUCGAAGAGAGGGGGUCGAUUGAUGUUACCGCCCUCAGCCAUGAGUUACAACCUAUACCCGCUCUGAUACCACUUGUAAGUUAUUGAUCCCGAGGAUCUAAAAGGUAAGUAACACCUAGAGGGGGGUGAAUAGGUGUAAAUCCGGCAAACUCGAAAAAUCUCGAUGCAAACAAACACAAUAGCG
rnacentral:lncRNA from 1 species